rnacentral:tRNA from 1 species
GCCUUCGUGGUGUAAUGGUCAGCACACUCGGCGCGUAUUCCAGAGGUCGGUGGUUCGAGUCCCGUCGAGGGCA